AACGAACGCUGGCGGCAUGCCUAACACAUGCAAGUCGAACGAUCCCUUCGGGGAUAGUGGCGCACGGGUGCGUAACGCGUGGGAACCUGCCCUUAGGUUCGGAAUAACUCAGAGAAAUUUGAGCUAAUACCGGAUAAUGUCUUCGGACCAAAGAUUUAUCGCCUUUGGAUGGGCCCGCGUUGGCUUAGCUAGUUGGUGGGGUAAAGGCCUACCAAGGCGACGAUCCAUAGCUGGUCUGAGAGGAUGAUCAGCCACACUGGGACUGAGACACGGCCCAGACUGCUACGGGAGGCAGCAGUAGGGAAUAUUGGACAAUGGGCGAAAGCCUGAUCCAGCAAUGCCGCGUGAGUGAUGAAGGCCUUAGGGUUGUAAAGCUCUUUUACCCGGGAUGAUAAUGACAGUACCGGGAGAAUAAGCCCCGGCUAACUCCGUG
rnacentral:rRNA from 1 species